AAAGGCAGGAAGCAGCGGGGGGAGGGGGUCGCGCCUCUUCUCCCGCCAGACGGACGGGUGGGCGCGGCGGCCAGCAGACCCCGCAAUGCGUUCGGUUAUCAUCCCCUCCCCCAGCGUGGACGGUGCGGCGUGCUGCUUAAGUCCCCCCUGCGGAGGGGUCGACCUCGGGGGAGCGGGUGGCUGCUGAGUAGGCGCGUGCGCAGAACGGCUCGGAGGGAGCCCCGGCAGCGACCGGCUCCGUGUGCCCCGCGGACGGCAGCGGCCCGGGGGCUGCGGCGCACGAGAGCGACGCCCGCGGAUGCGUGGCUAGGCCUCCGUCCUGGGGGAGAUGGUGCAAUGGUCCUGCCCUUCAGCGAUGGAAGUAGGUGUUUUCCCCACCGGACCUGCUCGGGCAUUUAGUAGCACUGAGGAGUCCUUAAAGACACCAAGGCAACGGACAACGUUAUCUGAGGGCACAGGUUCCCAAUGCUGUGCAUGGGAUCAGUUCGCUGAAGACAUUUUCCCUCUUCCUUCCAGCAGUCUCAGGCUUGACUGGAUUCAGCUUUAAUCAGCUGUUCUUCAUCCAGGUGGUGAUUGCAGUUGAGCAUUUUAGGGAGGCUUCUUUAUUAGCUUGCUUAGGAAAGGGAAGUUAGAGGUAGGGUAUUUGUGAGACUUCCUGCUUCAAGCACAGGUUCCUUCUAAUAUUUGGCCCACUGUUGCAUGCUUUAGGGUGGACAGUGCUAGUUCCCCUCAAAGGCAGUGUUCAUAGUAUCUGUUAAUUAGGGGUCCAGAGUGUUCUUUGUUUUUUACCAUGCAGGAAGGAGGCCCUGCCUGCACUCGGACUCCUGUGAUUGUACAGUUCCUAGAAGGGACAAUAGUUGCUUUGGGUCCUGUUCUCAGCCUCUUGGUGGCUAAAGAGGCCAUCAGGGAUGCAGGAUAUACUGAUACUGAGGAAAUGGAAUGCAAUUGUCCCUCCUCUGCUGCUUCUUUUUUUUGUUUUUUAAAGCUGCAGGUACCUAUGCUCAGAAUUUUGAGCCAACACUCUGCCUUCUUCCUUCCUCCUACAAAACUGCCAGUUGGGAUUGAUGGAGGGGAUGCACUUUAGGCCUUAAUUUUAGCUGGAGUCAAAUAAAAAUAUUGCUGUAUUGGUAACUGAAGAAAAGAUCUGUGCAGCUGGAACCUCUUCAUAUUAAGCAAAAGUGCUUAUGGAUACCACGGUGGUUUAACUACAGAAGAAUCUCUUCAUGUAUCAUGGACGUGUCUUUCUCCUCAGUUCACUACCAGUUGUGACAGAACAGGAAGUAAAAUAUACUGCAAAUCUUAAGAUUUCUAGGAACUUAAUAGCUGUUACUGCUUCAGCAGACCCUUACUAGGAACUUCCUGGUAGCAAUGGGGAUACAACUGAGAUCUUCCUGAUCUAGAACUCAAACCCCUCUCACUUUAGCUAGAUGAGAAUGUUUGUAGCAGAGGGAUUAUCCUGUAUAGUGAAGUUCUUUUCCUUCUAGGAGACAACACAUGCAAGUCAGCUCGUUACAAUGUUAUCCAAUAGAAACCUUCAGGGAGAGUGAUACAGAAUCAUCUCCAGCUGGGGUUCAGGAGACAGCAAGUCUGUGAGGAUGGAAACUGCCAGCUUUUUCUGUGCCAAAAUGUAGAUUUCUUACGCAGACUGUUUUUCCUGCCAACAAAUGGCUGCUUAACAAGGUGAUGAUCCAUUUGAUUUUGUUGACUUGCUGAGGUGUCAGUUUGCCUUUUGUCUCUAAGGAAAUGGUUUAUGGAUACUUUUCUAAACUUGGAGCAUGUCUCAAUAAUGUUAAACAACAGUAUUUUAUAACUUUACAUACAGUGUUGCCACACAUAUUUUACAGGACAAUAAUGAUCAGCAAAUGAUGAGUUUUCACAUGAUACCUCACAAGGCACACUUUGUACAAAACGUAUCAUAGUCUUGUAAAAAGGGUGAACAUAAGGAUACAGACGGUCAUAUGGGGAAUAGAGGUAAGCUAGGAAAAUAACUGGCUGAUCACUCAUUUCUAUUGUAGUGGUGACCCCAAUCAGUGGUUAGGGUCUCAUUGUAUGAAACAAAUUACACAAAGACAGACCCACGCCACGAAGCUCACAAUCAAAGAUUUAGACAACAAAAUACAAAAUGUGAAUAAACAGACAAAUGGGAGGAGCAGGGGGCAGGAGAUCAAGGUUAUAGUAAAGAGUGCGUGUGACGGGAUUACAGUGGGUAUAAUUUGCAUUCAAAUUUGCAAUGACACCUCCAGAACUGGUUUCCAAAGAGACCUAUGGAAAAUAAGCAGCAGUAUUUACAGUAUUCGUUUAAUAUUUUAACUGGUUCUGCACUUCGUUUUUGUUCCCUGUUCAUAAACUGGAGGCUAUUCUCUGUGUGCCCUUGCCCUGAUGAUUUGUUAAUAUACAUCAACUUUCAGGUUAUUGACCUGGUCUGUGAUUUAUAAAAUUCCUGCUUUUCAUUGGCAAUUAUGAAGUAUAUGGUCAGUUAUGAACCCUUUAGUCCUCCCUGUUCAGGUUGUUCCUUAUAUACAUUAAGACCUACAACAUUUGUUUCAAUGAUGUUGGGCCACAAAUUUUUCAAUGAAUACGCCACAACGUUAUGAAUUUGGAAUGAAUUAUUGCCUUUUCCCAGGGAAAAAUUGUUUGGGUUACACUACUGUUGAUUUUAACUAUAAUAAAUUGCUUAGAAACAAGCUGUGUGCAGUUUGGUCUGAAUUACUAAAUUCUUGUGACUAAUUACUGGCAUUCAUUAUGAGCUCUGGUCUUUAGUUUUCCAAGCAAGGUUAAAUGAUGCCACUGUUUGACCUUUUCC